rnacentral:piRNA from 1 species
UGACAUUUAUUGAGUAUCUACUGUGCUUGU